AUACGGAAGGUCCGGGCGUUAUCCGGAUUUAUUGGGUUUAAAGGGAGCGCAGGCGGAGAUGCAAGCGUGACGUCAAAUUUCGGGGCUCAACCCCGUCUCGCGUCGCGAACUGCGUCCCUUGGUUGCGGGAAGGGGAGGCGGACCUCGGGGUGUAGCGGUGAAAUGCAUAGAUAUCACGAAGAACUCCGAUCGCGAAGGCAGCCUUCCGGCCCGUCAACGACGCUCAUGCUCGAAGGUGCGGGUAUCAAACAGGAUUAGAUACCCUGGUAGUCCGCACAGUAAACGAUGGACACCCGCGGUUUGGCCUAUAUGGCUGAGCCGCCAAGCGAAAGCGUUAAGUGUCCCACCUGGGGAGUACGCCGGCAACGGUGAAACUCAAAUGAAUUGACGGGG
rnacentral:rRNA from 1 species